AAGAUGCAGGGUUUCGUGCAUGCUGAGUCAAAGGGCGUCUCAACGUGUACAAAUGACAAUUGUCUCACAAACAUCUAUUCAUCUUCUCAUUGUUUUUAACCCUGUCAUCAUCAUCAUUAUCAUCAUCCUCUCCUCCGGCUCUGCCCACUGCACAGCUGUUGCCCUCCGUGCUACCAUCCCAACGAAACAAGAAAUGGACGCUCAUAUAUAUAAUGAGACGAUGAAAAGAUGCUGCCUUCGAGGGGUAAAGAGGAGAAAUGACUAGAGGGAGAGCUUUUGUCCUUGUCCUAGUAGCACAUGUCUUUGUCUCUCAAUGACUCCAUCCACUGUUCUUCUUUUACUACUCCUCUAGCCUUUUCUCCAGAGAUUUGAAGACCAUGAAGCAUGAAGACAUAUGCCCUUGAAGCAGGGGAGGGACACAAUCAUUGACGCAGGAAGGAGGUCGCCCCUUUGACUCCCGUUCUGGUUGGCUGGACUCGCCACUUGCUGUGCCGGACUGCUGGCAGACAACAACAGCAAUGACCCCAUAACAGAAGAGUCAACAGCCACUCGAACACGCCAGGAGGUAGUCCAUCCCUGUGGCAAUCUGGACAGCCCAGUUCACCAGGACCCUCGGGGACACCUUUUUUCCAGCCAAGGCACGAUUCAGAGCCCCCCCUCUGGCGUACUCCAUGACCAAGCACAGGUUGGGUUCCCGUAAGCAGACCCCACGUAGCGCAAUGAUGUUAGGGUGCCGCAACAUCCAGAAAAGUCUGGCCUCCUGGCGUACGCUCUCUGCUGUCACACUGAUAUCCUCAUCGGGAUCCUGCCUUGCAGCCUUGACUGCGACUUCUUCUUCCUGCCACAUUCCUUUAUACACCUUCCCAAAUCCACCAGCUCCGAUAACCUCCUCCAGGAGCAGUUCAGAGAAGUCUAUCUCCAACGGGCAUUCACCCACGCCCACCCCACCAGCUACCAGUCCAUCUACAGUAAGUUGCUGGUAGUUGGGGGCGUCCCCCUUUGUCACAUAGUUGCUGGGAAAUAUCCCCACCUUGUCCUGGAUCUUGCCUGUCCACCAACCCUCAUCCCCGGACACUUUAGAGUCUUUAGAUAGAACUUCAAGGAGGUCCCCACGGUGCAAGGUUAGCUCCUCAUCUGCUGUGGCCUCAUAAUCAAACACAGCCGUCCAGUAGGGGUUCGGCACCCCACACAGGUGACCAGGGUGGGUGUCUGGGGAGCCAGACGAGUUCCAGCUACUGCCAUUCUCCACCUGCAUAACCGGAGCGGCGCACAAUGAUGGUGGCGGAGACAUUGAGGAUGCCGUGGAGGGAAUAAGGCAAGGAGGUGGCGGGGAGCAGCAGCCCCCACAGCUGGUGCAGGGCAGGGGGGUCGCCGAGGUACUCACUCUGCCGAACGGAUUCAUGGGGGCCGGACUUGUUGUUGGAUACUGGUAGCCUGCCCUCUUGUCAAGUCAGCUUCAAUAUACACACUGGGCCCAUGGACUGAGGCGAGGUAUCCUCGACCACCAGUAAGGGGGACCGGGGUUCAGUGUAUCAAAGAACUGGGGGUACCCAGCCCCCAUUUCUGCAUGUUGUUGAUGAAAUAGUCCCAAAUGUUAGCUCCACUUGCACUGGUAGUAACAUGUAUUCCGAAAAAGUAUGCUCAUUCAGGGACAAUGAUGACGCUGCACAUCCACCCACUGUUUGUAUCUAUUUCUAAGAACAGCCGGUGUCUUGUUUCUUAAGGCAUAAUUCAUAUCACAAAUCAUCAAACACUGGCUCAUAACUUCCAAAGUGUCUGUGUAGAUUUCACAAAAAAACAAUAAUGGAUCCUGCUGUCCAUGCAAAACUCUUUCCCGGAUGAAUUUCCCAUAAAGGCUCCAACACUCAAGUGGCAAUAAUGCAAAGGGUCUGUCAUUAGAUUAGGGGAAUAUGCUUAGAUUACUGAUAAAAAUGCUGAGUGAAAUCCUCCGAGGGGUCCUCAUUAUCCAGGGUCGAUGCUCCUCCCCCGUCAGCCAUAUCUAUGAAUAUAGGCCUUUCUCUCUAAAGUGGGAAAUAACAUUGGAUAUAUGAAUGGAUGGAUGGAUGGGUGUGCUCUACAUCCCGACACAAGCGAAAUCCUGCAUGCAUCCACGGUGCUCAAAGAACCCCCACUAGAUGGUCCCUCAUUUUCAGUCCACAGCUGUAGUGGACACAACAUUGAUGACGGUGGCAGGACUGGGUGGGCUUUUUACUGUUAUCCAUCAGUGAAGUAGUAGGAAGAGGGAGUAUUUAAAUAUACAGAUACACACUAGAUGAAAAAUAACAUGCAUCAUCCAUAAAAGCGAAGGAAAUCUAAAUAUAAAUAAUAUUUCAGUACAGAUAGGUGUAAUUUAGGCCACAUCCAAAGGGCUGCACCAUAAUAAUAAUAUUUACUGUAACCCAACCUGCACAGUGAGCAUAGCAACAUCCAUCGACAUGUCAUGGGCGUGAGCUUGCAUCCGAUAGACCAUCACCCGCAGACGUCCAAAAAAAAAAAAAAAGUCAAAUUUAAGCAAGCUUUUAUCCUCAACGACGUGACACAUCGAGCUGUCAAACACACACACGCAUGUCAAACACAUACACACACCAUAGGCUCAGGCGGUCAGUGUCCGAACAAAUACACCCGGCUGACGUGCACCUCGCUCGGCGAACAAGUGUCCGGCCUGCCGGUGAUCCGCGAACCGAGAGGAAAACAGUCGGAGGCACAAAGGCAAGCCCGGUUUUGCUUGUAUAUCCCAUCGAGGGAGUGCACAUUCGAGCACACACCGCAGUGGAGGACGCCUCUGUCGUCUGCUGGAACGAGACACAACUGAGCCGCUGCUGGUGGUGGUGGUAGUGUUUUUGUUGAAUUCUGGGUAAUGUAGUCUUUAAAAGCCUGGUAUUGCCCUACAUCAGUGUGGCAGCUAAUAAAUCAUUAACAAUCAAAAAUA